CACGCCCUAAACGAUGUAUGCUUGGUGUCAGGCCCUUGAGGUCUGGUGCCGUAGGAAACCCGUUAAGCAUACCACCUGGGGAGUACGAUCGCAAGGUUGAAACUCAAAGGAAUUGACGGGGGCCCGCACAAGCGGUGGAUUAUGUGGUUUAAUUCGAUGCAACGCGAAGAACCUUACCCGGGCUUGAAGUGUAGAGUAAUAUGGUUGAAAGGCUAUAGCCCUUCGGGGACUCUAUAGAGGUGC
rnacentral:rRNA from 1 species